GACGAACGCUGGCGGCGUGCUUAACACAUGCAAGUCGAACGGUAAGGCCCUUCGGGGUACACGAGUGGCGAACGGGUGAGUAACACGUGGGUGAUCUGCCCUGCACUUCGGGAUAAGCUGGGAAACUGGGUCUAAUACCGGAUAGGACCACUGCCUGCAUGGGAGGUGGUGGAAAGCUUUUGCGGUGUGGGAUGGGCCCGCGGCCUAUCAGCUUGUUGGUGGGGUGAUGGCCUACCAAGGCGACGACGGGUAGCCGGCCUGAGAGGGGGACCGGCAAAACUGGGACUGCGAUACGGCACAGACUCGUACGGGAGGCAGCAGUGGGGAAUAUUGCACAAUGGGCGCAAGCCUGAUGCAGCGACGCCGCGUGAGGGAUGACGGCCUUCGGGUUGUAAACCUCUUUCAGCACCGACGAAGCGCAAGUGACGGUAGGUGCAGAAGAAGGACCGGCCAACUACGUGCCAGCCGCCGCGGUAA
rnacentral:rRNA from 1 species